GAUGAACGCUGGCGGCGUGCCUAAUACAUGCAAGUCGAGCGAACAGACGAGGAGCUUGCUCCUCUGACGUUAGCGGCGGACGGGUGAGUAACACGUGGAUAACCUACCUAUAAGACUGGGAUAACUUCGGGAAACCGGAGCUAAUACCGGAUAAUAUAUUGAACCGCAUGGUUCAAUAGUGAAAGACGGCUUUGCUGUCACUUAUAGAUGGAUCCGCGCCGCAUUAGCUAGUUGGUAAGGUAACGGCUUACCAAGGCAACGAUGCGUAGCCGACCUGAGAGGGUGAUCGGCCACACUGGACCUGAGACACGGUCCAGACUCCUACGGGAGGCAGCAGUAGGGAAUCUUCCGCAAUGGGCGAAAGCCUGACGGAGCAACGCCGCGUGAGUGAUGAAGGUCUUCGGAUCGUAAAACUCUGUUAUUAGGGAAGAACAAAUGUGUAAGUAACUAUGCACGUCUUGACGGUACCUAAUCAGAAAGCCACGGCUAACUACGU
rnacentral:rRNA from 1 species